rnacentral:lncRNA from 1 species
CCACUUUCCUUAGCCUUAAGCAUGGACUGAACCUUCUCCAUCAUUCUUGUCUUUCUUCCAUGAGCAGCACAAAUUCCAUUGUUUUUAAAGUAACCUAGUUCUUCAGCUUCAUCAACCCACACAACAUUCAAGCACUCUCACAUCACCAUUAAACAUGGAGGAUGAAGAUGAAGCUUGACUUUGAUAGCUCCUUUUGCCCAUAUGACCACCUCCCAUCAUUUUAGAUUCAAUUUCAACAGUUUUGCUUGAAUGAAUUUUGCAGAUUUUGGUUUUCAGAUUCAAUUAAAAAAAAUUAGGGUUUGUAAUUUUUUGAUUUGGGGAAGAACGUGACCCUUAAUUAUUGGAAGAAAAUUUGGAGAUUUUGGAGUGUAGAUUACACAUUGUAAAAUUAGGGUUCCAAUUUUAUAUAUUUGGGGAAGAAAUAGUCGUUGGAGAAGGAAGAGAGCCGUUGGGGAAGAAGAGCAAUUUCCUGAAAUUCAAUCAACUUAGUCCUUGAAAAUUUAGGUCAUUAUCGGC